GUAGGUGGCAAGCGUUGUCCGGAAUUAUUGGGCGUAAAGCGCGCGCAGGCGGUUCUUUAAGUCUGAUGUGAAAGCCCACGGCUCAACCGUGGAGGGUCAUUGGAAACUGGAGAACUUGAGUACAGAAGAGGAAAGCGGAAUUCCACGUGUAGCGGUGAAAUGCGUAGAGAUGUGGAGGAACACCAGUGGCGAAGGCGGCUUUCCGGUCUGUAACUGACGCUGAGGCGCGAAAGCGUGGGGAGCAAACAGGGAUUAGAUACCCUGGUAGUCCACGCCGUAAACGAUGAGUGCUAAGUGUUAGGGGGGUUUCCGCCCCCUUAGUGCUGCAGCUAACGCAUUAAGCACUCCGCCUGGGGAUACGGCCGCAAGGCUA
rnacentral:rRNA from 1 species